GACGAACGCUGGCGGCGUGCCUAAUACAUGCAAGUAGAACGCUGAAGGAGGAGCUUGCUUCUCUGGAUGAGUUGCGAACGGGUGAGUAACGCGUAGGUAACCUGCCUGGUAGCGGGGGAUAACUAUUGGAAACGAUAGCUAAUACCGCAUAAGAGUAGAUGUUGCAUGACAUUUGCUUAAAAGUUGCAAUUUCAUCACUACCAGAUGGACCUGCGUUGUAUUAGCUAUGUGGGGGGGUAACGGCUCACCAAGGCGACGAUACAUAGCCGACCUGAGAGGGGGGUCGGCCACACUGGGACUGAGACACGGCCCCGACCUCUACGGGGGGGAGCAGUAGGGGAUCUUUGGCCAUUGGCGGAAGUCUGACCGAGCAACGCCGGGUGAGGGAAGGAGGUUUUCGGGUCGUAAAGCUCUGUUUUAAGAGAAGAACGAGUGGGAGAUUGGAAAGUUCACACUGUGACGGUAUCUUACCAGAAAGCGACGGCUAACUACGUG
rnacentral:rRNA from 1 species